AUGGACAAGUACAUGACUGCUCCAGUCCUAUUCUCUCUACUUCUUCUCGUAUGCCUUGCUACUACUACACAAUGUCAAAUCACCGACGACAUGGAUAAUGAUCUGAUCAAUUUACCAGGCGGGUUUUUGAUUGGUCGAACAUGUUCAGAUUACUGUACCGGCCCGCUUCGCUUCCCUUGCAAGCGACAACGCUUACCGGCGCUUGCAGUGCAGAAUAGAAGCUCUAUGGGCAAUUCAUAUUUGGCGCUGCAGGCGCCCGUUCUAGUGCAAUUUGCAAACAGCACGAUGAAUCAUGCAAUAUUUCUUCUUUCCACCUUUUUAUUCCUUUCUGUUUGCGAAACACCACCAGGCUUCAACCCUACUGCGUUGUAUGCGAACACGCGCUUGGCGUGGAACCCUGCAAAGGAGGUUGUGUGGAGGAGACUUGAUGAGAAUCUAUUCACGGUGCAAUUGGUUUCCCUGGGAGACUCGAACAAGGCUAUGAACAUGGGGCCAUGGUUGCUUCGGUGCCAAGCUGUGAUUAGAAGAGUACGACGGGUUCCAAAACCCAAGAGAGGUAACUAUCUUCAGGAUGACGUGAUCAAAGGCAUGUGUGGUCCUAUGGGCGAGAUACUAGAAGUUCGUAUUAGACUCCCGGCUGGCUAUGUUGGCAAGUUUGUCCGUGUGCAUGCAAAGAUUGCUGUGAACAAGAGGCUUAGCAGGUUGUGUCAAAUCACCAAAUCGCCAACGCCACCUCUUCCUCCCCACCAGCUCCACCGGCGAGCCCCUAUGCUGCCUACGCGCGCACAACCUCCGUACCCUGCUGCUCUCCCUGCUGGCCCUCUUCCCUCGCCCGGAUCGCUGCUCUGCCUCGACCGGCCAGCGCACCGCCAUAACCGGCCAGCGCGCCGCCAUAAUCGGCCAGCCCAAGCUCGCAUCGCCCGCUCCGUCCGCGCCUGCGACGACCUCCUCGACGCCCUACUCUUCUGCGGGCCGAGGUCCUUGCUGGCGCCCUCCGUCUCGUGCUCGAGCCGCCCUCCGCGCACCCCCUUCCCCUCGGCUAGAUCCGACCGCCUGCCAUCUCGACCUUGCGGCCUCUCGAUGAUCUGCUGCAUGAACAUGGUGGCAUGCUCUUCCAGGACGAUGAGGACUACUCGGGUGGUAGUGGCCAAGGACAAGGCCAGGGACUACAACGAUUUAGCUUCCCACGCCGCCCAGCUCUUCCGCCCGAGGGAUGUCCGCCGUGCUGAUCUAACCGCCAUGUCCCCUUUGUCGCGGGCGCCUCCCAUCUCGUGUCGCCCCCGCCGCUCCUCCCCACCACACGCGAGGAGGGCGGCGCCGCUGCCCCUGCCCCGUCGGUUGUUCCCCCAUCUUCUUUACGAUGGACACGAUCCAACAUUUAACCCUAUUUUCUUCAGAUCUCUACCAAAGGACUGGGCUUAUGCUUGUAGUGUGUACGAUGAUGAGCACCUGGUGGAAGUUACAACCUUGCAUUUUGUAGUUUAUUUCAAAUUCAUAGAUAUAUUCUUCAAUGCUUCCUAG
rnacentral:rRNA from 1 species